GGUUAAGAUUAGGGUUAGUUUAAGGGUUAGGGUUAGGAUUAGGGUUUGGGUUUGGGUUCAUGUCUCAUGACAGGGUCAUGUGUUCAUGACAGUGUCAUGUCACUCUUAUGUCGAUACUGUCAAGUAAAAAUAUUAGUCAGC